rnacentral:rRNA from 1 species
CGGGACGGGUGAGUAAUGUCUGGGAAACUGCCUGAUGGAGGGGGAUAACUACUGGAAACGGUAGCUAAUACCGCAUAGCGUCGCAAGACCAAAGAGGGGGACCUUCGGGCCUCUUGCCAUCGGAUGUGCCCAGAUGGGAUUAGCUAGUAGGUGGGGUAAAGGCUCACCUAGGCGACGAUCCCUAGCUGGUCUGAGAGGAUGGCCAGCCACACUGGAACUGAGACACGGUCCAG